UACAUUAAAGAUGACAUUUCUUUUGUUAAAAUUUGAAGUGAUUUAAUUUAGAUUGUUUUAAAAUCGUAUCAUUUAUGGUUAAUUAUCCUGAUGAUCACCCAUGUGAAAUGGUUAAAAACAAUGCUUAUCUCAUAAUAGUUAAUGAAAAACUUGAUAUACAAUGUACAUUAAUUUAUACCAAGUGAAAGCCAAGUUGACUUGUUUUAUAAAGAUUAUUCAUCAACAUGGUCUUCACCAAGAAUGCUUUCAAUCUGUGAUAAAUUAUCCAAUUUUUUAAGUUAUGCUUCUCGGAACAACGAUUGAACUUUAAUGCAACAAUAUUUGCCUCCAAAUGAUUACAAUCAAUCAGUCAUUUUACCAUCACCAUCUCUGUUGGACUCCAUCAACUUUCACUUAUAGAUCGGACCUUAAAAACAUUGUUAAAGUUGACUUGGAGAGAUACAUAAACAAGUAAAAUGUUGAUCAGCUUCCCAUGGAUAAAUGAUUGAAAAGGAAAAUAAAUCAGUUGAUGAUUAUCAUCGAUUAAUUGUGACCAUUUCCAGUGUAUAAAAUUAAUGGUCAACUCUUGAAAUACAAUUUAAUGUUUGCCCUUUUUGUUUUGGCUUCAGCGUUUGGCUUCAUUUGCACCAUUUUUGUUGAACCACAAAAAGGCUCAAACCUUGGUUUCCAAUUAUAUAUCUUUUCAGAGAAGGACAACUGAAUCAAUCUUUUCAGUUUCUUCUUCUUCUUCGCUGGCCUGCUUCUUAAGGAAACCCCGUAAGCUGUAUCAAUAUUGUUUACAAAAGGCUUGAUUUUGGUUCACAAUGGCAAGAAGCUUUAUCAAAAUUGAAUGGGCUCAACACGCGUUUGAUAAUAGCAAGAAUAUUAUUUUACUCCAUCUUUAUUGUUACCCUUACUAUUUGUGCUGUUGUUGGUAAUAUUAUUCUGGAUAUUUCAUCUUCAUCUCUGCAUCUUCAUCUAAAAUGGUCAACACCUCAUCUUUAUUCACAGUCUUUCACUUCCCACAACUAUGAUUAUCUUUCAUAAUUUUAAUGGUAAAGGAUCGCUGAUGUUUCAUGGCAUUGGAUACAAUUGUAGAGCAACAAAGCGACUCUGAUUCCAGGUUGAAAUGAACUUUAAAAGAAUCAAAGAUAACUUGGAAAAGCAACAACUGAAACAAGGAAAUGGCAAGAUCAUAAAAAUGGCAACAAAAAUGGUUCUACUGGUUAUUACAAGGAUUCAAACGUGAGAUUUGUCCAGUAUCAUUGGAGUGAUAGUAAUAACAAUAACCAUUUUGCAGUUAACAGAAAAAUGGCUUAAAAGUUAACAGUAAAUGAUUUGAUUAAAAAAAGAUGAAAUUGUAAUGGAAGCAAAACUGCUCAAGGCAAGGCUAUAAACAAAAAGGUGGCUUCACUUUUGUCUGGUAUAAGUAUUGCUGAAUCCAAUAUCACAAGUGGGUUAAACGAAAACCAGGGGAAUAUAAAGGAAAUGAGAGUCAACUUCCGUUGAUUUGGAUACAGUUGAUCAAAUCUGAUUGUCUCCAAAUAAACUUGGCCCUUUGUAUUGUCAUCAAAAAUUUGGCCAACGACUAAAUAGUCAUAAAAAUAGUGCGAUUCGUCAUCAAGCUCAUCUUCAAGAUCAAUCGUGCAUUCUUUCACCAUCUACAUCAUCACAUUAUCAUCAGUAUCCUCCAACAUCAUCUCCAUGUCAAUGUCAUCAAAAACAUCAACAUAAUCAUCUUUUUUCUUUUUCUUCUUCCCCUGCUUUUCAUGUUUUCACCAAACCCAUUGGAAUAGAGCCUUUUCCAUGUUGAUCUUGUUUUGACUUUUUUCAGAUUGUCAGCUUAUCCCCCCGAUCAUCCUCUUUGCCUAAUUUCCGUUUCAUCUUUCAUCAUCUUUCUCUUCUUAAAUUAUCUUCUUUUUCUUCCGUCUCAUGCCAUUAUCAUCAUGACAAUUCUUGUGACAAACAUUGUCAUAACUUCUUUUCAACCAAUAUCCGUGUAAAUUUCAUGUUCACCAACAUGUAAACGCAUUUUGUUUCAACUUGAUUACCAAACAAAUCUGAGCUUUUUGUUUCACUCUACAUUAUAAUCUAAUAAUAAGUUAACAAUGUUAAUUGAAGACUACAUUCAACAAUUAAACAUGGAUGAGAAUGGAAAUGCCAGAAUCUAAUCCCAAAGUAAAAAAGCCCCAAAACAAUCAACUAAUUGUGUUUUUCAUCACAUUUAGAUUUUGGCAAUUAAUGACUUUUCUUGCCCUUCUCGUAACCUUUUAUUUUUGUUUGACCCACGAUAAACAAUCUAAUUGAUUGA